GGAAAUCCUUGUCUAUUGCACUGUGCAGCAAAAAUAAUGUGGGAAAAACCGUCUACUUUGCAUGUGAGUGUUACAGAGGGAAACUGAGUCAUGGGAUGUGUCCAAGGGGCCAAGAUAAGAGCUUAGCCAGCCAAAUCCCACUCCAAGUGACUCCUCUCCCCUACAGAGCAAGAAGAGCUUCUGCAGCUGGAUGGAGAAAAGGAGGCCCUGAGUUAGUCAUCUGUAUUUACUAAAGAAAAAAGAAGCAUCAAGCAAAUAAGCAAAAAAAUCCCACCCCCCCCCGAGCCCACAAAACACAAAAAUACUUCUUCAUUUUGUGAAUUUACAUCUGGUGCUCUCCAAAACUGCAAUGUCUUUUCUGGGUCUGUUCAGCUGUUACAGAUUUCCAAGUCUUCCAAAGAAGGCCUAAAGGCCUUUGGCCUAGAAACUCUGACCUCACGGCUACUGUGAACCUUCACCUAGUUGACUGUAGGAAGCAUUAGGAAAAUAUAAAGCCCUACCAACACUCAGUAAAAUUUUCUACACAUGAAAAAUAUGUCUAGCUCAGCACAGGCAAAUUUUUCAAGAGCAGGCAACCUGGCAAUUAGCCAAAAUACUAAUAAGGGCCCCCUCCUCCAGCUGACAUUAGUAUUCAAAUCUCUCUCUCCCUUGUUGCCAGGUACAUCUGGGAGAUUCUAUGCAGGGAGCAGCCUAGAAUGUGUUGUUAGUAUACAUAACAUAGUAUAAUAUUUUUUGGUUACUGCAAUUUCAAGUUUGCCAUAUUUUUGCAGCUUGGGAGGACUCAGUAGGCCCAGGCCAGGCACAGAGCAAGGACCUGUUGUGCAAGAUGAUGUAACUGCCCAUUUUUACUAAAACCAAAACUCAUUCCCUGCCCACGCAGCUUGCAGUGUCAGUUACCACAGCACAUGCUGGGCAGGCAGAGCUCAGGAAUAGGGAGCUUGGACAAGAACACAGGCAGAGGAGAUAGCAGCAAAACAAAUCUCACCGGGCUCUUUGAGUCAUCUCCUGCCUGGAUGGCGAGCAAAGCAGAAAAGGGAAAAAAAGUACAGUUACACCAAGAAGAGAGUCUCCAGACAGCUACCUGCUUCCUAAUCUGCUUGUUACCUGAAGACUAAGCCUUCUCAGUUCUUUGCACUAACUAGAGUCCUCUUUACCUCUCUUCCCAUAAAAAUCAUAUUAAUUUCUUACUCUUUAAGUGAAAUGAGUAGGCAGUGAUUUUAUGAUGUGCUUCUUGGGCAGAGAUAGAAAUGGGAUAAACUUCUGAGGCAGAAAUAACACAAAAUUUGUUUCCAUGUUUGCAGAACAAAUGGAUGAAUUUAAGGGAAGGCAAUAUAGUCACAAGAAUAUUUCACUGCCCAUGCUAAAUAACAGAAAGGUCUCUGCACUGUAGUAAUUUGUCCCCAGGGGAAAUGAUAAUGAAAUAAAUACUACACAGUAUUUGUUUAACUCAGGAAUGUGCAAAGAGAAAGAAGAGCAGGAGAUGAUGAAGCCUAAGGAAGAGGCUUUACCCCUUUUAAGCCAAGAGGUUUUUACCCCUUCCUCGUAACCAGCCACAGUCAUGGAAGCACUUUAUCUUGUUCUCCGAGUUCUUGGACAUGAACCUCUAACUAAGCAUACCAGAACUCCCCCUACUGAGGAGCCAUCACAACCACAACUAAAUACUUGGGGAAUUUCUUUGGCAAAAGACUUCUCUGUUGGAAAGUGAUGAUUUGUUGAAAACAAAGCUUUCUGUGGAAAACUGUCAUCUUCAACAAAAUGUUAGCUGGAAGAUGUUCCUCUGUUCACAGUGCAAUUGCUUGGCAAGACUAGGCAGAUCCAGCAUCCCUUCUGGGGUCCUUCUGCACCAGCCAUGCACUGCAUGGACAGACAGACAGACAAGCACAACCCAGAAAGGGGAGCCUCUUUGGUGAGAAGGCCAGAUUUAGAAGAAGUGUUUGAGCCUGGCCCUCCCACUGGGCUACUGCUAUAAUGAAAGGGAAUUGGUUCCUAUCACAGUCUCUUUCUCCAAAAGGUAGGCUUAGGCACUUUGUUCUUCUUUUUCAAGAAGAGAACAAACAAAAAGACAAAAUCACCAAACUUUUUAUAAAAUAGCACUCUGUUUCCACACUCUAGUUUUAACACAAAUUACAUAAUUGCACUCACACUAGGGCUUGAUAAUUAUUUUGGCUAAAGAAAACUAAACAAGGACAAAACCUUGUAAGCCUUGUGAUAGCACUACAUUUAGAAAGAUUAAGAUUUAAAGUCUUUAGAAGGAUAAGACUUAAAAUGAGAGACCCUUCAUUGCUCUCUACCCCCCCAGCCUGAGACUGGAUCUCCUUGCAUGCAACACUUCAUUAUCAGCACUGUUUCAACAAAUCAGUGGAACAAGGGGCAAGCUGAGUUUCCUGACUAGGGAAGCAGUGCUUUCUGAUGGUGUUUAAGAGCCCUCAAAGUCUGCCUAAAUGUGCCAGAUACUCCUUUUAAAUUAUGUGGCUACAGUAAGAUUUUGUUUCCAAUAAUCUAACUGCAGGAAAUGUUUUCUUUUAAGCCAGAGGAAAGACAGAAAGGCCCUUUCUGGUUCUUGAAUCUUUUUAUGCUGUCACAAGCAACUGCAUUGUUUAAAUCCUUUCCCAGAGAUCUCAGACCCUGUAUAUGCCAAGGGCUUAUAAAACACAGCUCAGCUGCUUGGCAAAUUCUUAGUGAGCUCAACCUGGGUGUGUUCUUGUCCAUGCUCAUGGCUGUAGGGUUGGGGCCCAGGGCUGAGGAGCUCAGUGUCCUGCACUGUGCUGCCUUGCUCAAGCAGGUAAUGCAUGUUUUACUGUAGCUGUCCUGAGUCUGAAAAGAACUGUGCCUCUCCCUGAUUCUGUAUUUCCAAGGCAGCAUCCUCAUCUAGCUUCAAGUCCCUAUCAAACUUAGACAAAAAACAAAUGAAAUAAUUACCUAUUGAAUACAUAUAUAUAUAUAUAUAUACACACACACAUAUAUAUAUAUUCUACCAAAGAACAAGCAAUUUUAAAAUAUAUUUAGCUGAUUUUUUGGAAUCCAUAAGCCAUGGAAACAGGAUAUAGACAAAAUCUUACAGAUGCUACUGGCUGGAACACAGCUGAGUGUAAAUUAAUUGAGAUUCUAAGCAACAAGGAAGGCCUGUCCACAAACUAACUGUGAGCUCACAGCCACCUUGACCCAAGUCUGCAGUUAGGGUUAAGAGCUGAGCCACAGCCAUUUCAAACACCAUGACAUUAUCUCACCUCAAGUCCUUUUGCUAGUCCAAAAUAAGGUUUAUUUGUGGAUUGGUAUUUUGUGACUGACAUUUUUAUGUACCUUAUUUUCUGUUGUGGCAAUGACUGUUGUAGCAACAACAAGUGAUAAUGCCUUGUACUUCAGAGUUUGCUGAUGUAUAAGCUACUCCAGAGGCAAUUGCCCAGGGAGAAAGCAGCAAUGAGCCAUGCAUUAGCCAUGUAGAGAGCAUUGAGAAGAGUUAGAGCAUGCUGCUGUGCCACCAAUCUUCUCAGCAAUUAGAAAAAGAAGGGUUGGCAGAGAUACUGGGUCCCCGGCAGUGUUUCCCGUCAGGUUUUUUGAGCUGUAAAACUCAAGGGCUAGAAAAGGAAAAAAAAUUUCAAGAGCCACUUGGUGUGAGGAAGGGGCUCUUUGCCAAAGCAUAGGUCAAUGGAAAUCUGCUGUGACCAGAAGAGUAAGUAAUACAGAGAUUGCCCCCAUGUCACAGUGUCUGCUAGCAUAGUGACUUCCAGCAUCCACAUCACCACUUCUGACUGACAAGGUGACCAUGACUCCAUCAGCAAUGUGUACACACCAUGUUUGGUACUGUCCUAGAUGUAAAACAGUUUAUGUAGAAAAGGAAUAUUAAACCUAUCUCCCCAAAUAGCAAAAAGAGAUUCUUUUCCUAAAAUAUUGAUGCUGAAUGUCAGUUUGAUGCCAAUCACUGAUUUUUAAUUAUUUUUUUAUUGCUCCACAAGACUUUUCCAUGCAAAUGCUAAGUGUUCCAAUUGCUUAGAUAAUCCAGUCUAAAUAUGUAUAGACUUUGUAGGAAGUAAUGGCUUGGUUAUAGCUUUUACUAAUGGUAGGAGAGAGAUCCAUAAUAUAAUCUUGUAAGACUUGACUCAGUCGGACUUCAGAAUCAGAUUUUGGCACACUUGUCAUCUCUGUAUUUAGACUCUUUGACAUGGAUUUACAGCCUUUUAAAUCUGUUUCUUCCCAACUUUCAGUCUAAACAUUUCCUUGGAUACACAGAAAUAUCCAGGACAAAUUAAAAUACAUGCACUGACUAGCUGAUCACAGAUAACUUCAUCUGGUAGUCAAGAGGAAUAUUCCUAUUACACUGUUGUUGACAAAUCCAGAAGCAAAGAUUCUUUAUGAGAAAAAUGUGCUGCUAGCAGUGCAGGCUUGCCAGAAAAUCAAAUUCUGUGAACAUAAACGGCUUGAUACUGAGGAGAAAUAACAUUUAGGCCACUAUUGGAAAGCUACAGUGUUGUGGUUUUUUUCUUUUUAUCACUCAAAAGAGAGAAAAAAGGAACUUCAAGUCAAGUGUCUUUGCACUAAGCUAAAAGAAAUUAUUAAAAGGGAUUUUUUGUUAGUUUGGUUUUGGUUUUUGGUUGGUUGGUUGGCUGGCUUGGUUUUUUUGGUUUGUCCUUUAUAUGGAAUCUAUCUGGAGAGAAUGGCAUUGAUAAAGUGUUGAAAAAACAGAAAGCAGACUGCCUCCUAUAGUCUGUAUGUCCCGUAUGCUUUUAUCUGCACCAGUAGCAAGAGGAACAACUUCAGGCAGCCAGGAUAAUAUCACUGUCACUUCUAUGGUAUGGUCACUUCUGUGCAAGUCCCUCUUUGAAAGCAGGUACCUAUGAAGUAGUACAACUCCACCAGACUUCACUGGAUAGCACUAGCUUACAGCAGCUCUGAUUUUCAUCCUUGUUCUGUGACCACCAGUAUGCUAGUAAACAAUGAUAAGAGAUUUAAAGAAAAGACCAAUGAUUUUCUGUAGUCAUUUCAGGUUUUCUUGUACUGUGCUUUUCCAAUUUAGAGAUGACUUCCUUAUUAACCCAGUUUGCCUUGUGGUAUCACAAAUAAUCGAGGUGCUUUUCUCUGCUCUGCUGGUCUACCACUCAGUACAAAAGCUGCAUAUGCAAUUGGAUGACAAAAACUUAUCUACUGCAGAGUAGCAGCAGGCAAUCCUUGGUAUUGACCCUGUGAUCUUUACCAAGUUGGAAUUGCCAUGGAAUUGAUUGAGGUGUGCAGAAUUCACCUUUAAAGUUCAUACAUGAACAGAAACACACAUGAACAGAAACACACGAGUAGGGACUCUCACAGUCCCAAGAAAGGUAAAAUGUAACAUCAUAUGCUAAUGCAAGGAUAUCAGAAAUUAAAGUCCUUCUACAAAGAGCAGAAAUUAACUAUUAUUUUGUUCUGUUCAUUUAUUUUCAACUAGGUAUUUCCCCAACCCUUUAUUAUUUUAGAGUAUAAUGAGAAACACGCUUCCAAGCCUAUAUGAAUGUGAUGUUUCAAAAAUAUAUUCCCCACGUAAAUUAGAAGAAAAAUAUAAACUUCAUUGUUUCAUUGCAACUAUUCAUUUUGUCUUUUUUUUCCCCCAGUUUAAGCUCCCAUUUAUGUGUUUCAAAUGCUACAAAUUAUAAAGGAAUUGUUCAAAGUAGAUGUUUCAAUGUCAAAACCUUUCCUGUA